ACCACGGCAGGCACAACUCAUCAAUAAUUCAGCCAACAGGGACAAAAGAGAGGCCGGGAGGGGUCCCAGCAUUAAUUAUACAGGAGUCGGUCCAAUCCAAUAAUAUUUGCCAAUCAAAUCUAUUUUAUGUUCUGGAGUUUUACUGUUAGGCAACAGGAGACACAAUGAUAACAGAGAUGACUUCCAGUGACAUAGAGUGUCCACAUAAAAGUCAUCCACUGCUGAAAUUAUUCAGAGAAAGAAAAAGCAUUUAAAACAUAUGGAUUGCCAGCAACAGGAAAUGUAGGGAAUAAAAUAGAAGUGCUUUCUGUAUGUAUGCUUCUUCUUUGUAUUUAAUUGGUAAUAACCAAGUACUGGAUGAAUACAGCUUCUUCACAAAACCUCCUGAUGUCACCCUUCACGACAACCAAAUUUUUAUCCAGCAAUCCGAUCACCAUCCAUAUUGCCUCCUUUCAAAUGACAUACCCAAUGAUAGUCCUCCUGGUGGAUGCAAAGACACUUUCUGGAGUGUUUCCAAAAGCAGUCAUGUUCAGUCAGGCUAUGAGCAGAGCAAAUUCCCCUCGAGCAAAUUCUCGGGUGAUUCAAUCAUAAAACCGUAGCUGUUUUUGACUGCCCAACCCAAGAUUCCAUCUUCUUUUCAAAGAGAAAAUCUAGUUCAGGUCCUCUAAGUUACAUGUCAAAGGACCUUAAGGCGAAAUACAUGCCUGUGUUUUCAUCUGGUGCUGACAACAGUAAGGGAUUCCACAGAGUGGGUCGAUCUCGUGUCCUUUCUCUACACAAACCCCCAUCUUUGAAUUACUUCAUACCAAAAAAUUAUAUCUACGUUCCAAAUUAUAAAGGCACAAACAAGAAGAAAGCAUCAAAGUCCUUUGAUGCUUACAAAUCCAGUGUUGGCAAGUUCCUUUUCCUAAAUGGUGGCUAUGAAGAUGCAAUGAAAGCUGGCUUGCUAAAACCCAUAAGCCAGCCAGACGGCUUACAGACGCUUUCUGAAACCAUGGAAACGGAGCCCACUAACUUUGCCUCUUGGCCCUUGGAGCUGUUGACUGAACCCAGAGAACUGCAUCAUCUGGAAGAAGACAAAAUGUUCUUCUCACCCAAAGCCCCAAAAAUCCUCCCGCUCCUCUGUGAACGCAUAUAUCAAGUCCAAAAACCGCUCUACAGGGGCGACGACGUUCUUGACAAGGACCUGUUACAAACGGACAAGGCUAAUAAACGGCAAUGGAAAUCUGCUCUAAGAUAUUAUCCAAACCACAUUUUUGGUCAUCAGAGAAACUAGAAGGAAGAGUGCUGAUUUCUACAGUUUUUGUUUCGUCAUGCAUGCAAUGUAAUUCUCAGAGAUGAAUUUCCGGUUGCAAAUAUCAAAAGCAAUAAUCUCCCAUAUUUGAGUGCAGGGAGAGUUUGUAAUUCUUGACGGCACAAGUGUAGACCUACCUGAAGCAUGCACCCAGUAAGUGUCUCACGUAACAAGAGACGGCCUUUUCCAUUUGACAAUACAGCUCCUGCAAAGCACAUGAAUGCCUAAAUUAAAAUUUAUUCACUUCCAAAAUCUGUAUUUCACUAUUGAAUACUUGUAAAAUACCAUUUGGGCGCUUUGGGAACUUGCGUCCACAGCUUUGAAUUUCAGAGAAUCUUUUGUAAUGAACUCGUUUACAUAAUCAAUAAAUUCUUGCCUGCAAAACAAACAAAAGAAAAAAACUUUCAUUAAAUUGUAUGAAUUUAUGCUUGAUUGCAAGGAAAACUCCAGAGUUAGUGCUCCCCCUUUAUCCAAGAUAACUUCAACUUUCAGUAUAAG